CGUGUUAACCUAAUCAAAACACGUUCAUCUCGGGCAGUAGUUUUUCGGCGUCUACCAGGAGACUUUCCUGGAAUAACGUUUCUUGGUGUCCGAUGACGUUUCAAGAUUCUGGAUACAGUACACUGGAUAUAGCUACUUUCUCU